rnacentral:rRNA from 1 species
CAGCCGCCGCGGUAAUACGGAGGGUGCAAGCGUUAAUCGGAAUUACUGGGCGUAAAGCGCACGCAGGCGGUCUGACAAGUCAGAUGUGAAAUCCCCGGGCUUAACCUGGGAACUGCAUUUGAAACUGUCAGGCUGGAGUCUUGUAGAGGGGGGUAGAAUUCCAGGUGUAGCGGUGAAAUGCGUAGAGAUCUGGAGGAAUACCGGUGGCGAAGGCGGCCCCCUGGACAAAGACUGACGCUCAGGUGCGAAAGCGUAGGGAGCAAACAGGAUUAGAUACCCCGGUAGUCCCUGUCUCUUAUAC